CCUACGGGUGGCUGCAGUGGGGAAUAUUGGACAAUGGGGGCAACCCUGAUCCAGCCAUGCCGCGUGUGUGAAGAAGGCCCUCGGGUUGUAAAGCACUUUCAGUGAGGAAGAACGCCUGGUGGUUAAUACCCAUCAGGAAAGACAUCACUCACAGAAGAAGCACCGGCUAACUCCGUGCCAGCAGCCGCGGUAAUACGGAGGGUGCGAGCGUUAAUCGGAAUUACUGGGCGUAAAGCGCGCGUAGGUGGCUUGAUAAGCCGGUUGUGAAAGCCCCGGGCUCAACCUGGGAACGGCAUCCGGAACUGUCAAGCUAGAGUGCAGGAGAGGACGGUAGAAUUCCCGGUGUAGCGGUGAAAUGCGUAGAGAUCGGGAGGAAUACCAGUGGCGAAGGCGGCCUUCUGGACUGACACUGACACUGAGGUGCGAAAGCGUGGGUAGCAAACAGGAUUAGAUACCCCAGUAGUC
rnacentral:rRNA from 1 species